AUCCGGUCUGAUUGCCACGUCACGGUUUUACACUCAUCGAUGUGCCCUCAGAUCUGACCCUCACUUCUCCUACGCGCAAAACGCAGAAAGGCCUCUCGACAGAGUAUGUCUUCCCCUCCCGUUUGAGCCUCGAGCCCUCUCUCCCUCUCUAACUUCUGUAUCCCUCUCUCCAUCUCUCUGUUUCGUACCCUCUCUCUCUCUAAACCUGAUCUGUGACUCGAUUCCAUAUUGGAGGAAACUACUACGUCCAAAUCUGACUCGAAGACAUACGUGCGUGCGUGUCCAACUUAGCUCAUCCCCUACAUCACAGGAGAAGCAAUAUGCCAAUUCUUCUUAUGGAUAGAUAUACUUCAACUGGUAGAGGAGAAAAUUCUAACAAGAGAGAAUGUAGUUCGGAAGAGGGAGCGUGAUUUAUUAUUGUGCAAGUAUGAAGUUCAGAAAAAAAAAUGAUAAACUAAUUGAGAGAGAGAAUGAUCUUCACAAGCAAGAGGAUAAAAUUCAAAAGCGGAUUGUAGAGAAUAGAUAUGCAAGUAUAUUAUUGUGUAUGUAUUGGGUGUUAUCUAUUAUACUAGUUUUGUGUUGGUAUGGACAAUAGAUGUAUUGUGUUAUUGUUAAUUGUAAAUGGAUGGUUUCGACUAUGUUUCUGACAGAUAUUGCUAAUUUGAUUAUGUGGUUAUGGUCCA